GGGCGGCGUGCCUAAUACAUGCAAGUCGAGCGAACAGAUAAGGAGCUUGCUCCUUUGAAGUUAGCGGCGGACGGGUGAGUAACACGUGGGUAACCUACCUAUAAGACUGGGAUAACUUCGGGAAACCGGAGCUAAUACCGGAUAACAUUUAGAACCGCAUGGUUCUAAAGUGAAAGAUGGUUUUGCUAUCACUUAUAGAUGGACCCGCGCCGUAUUAGCUAGUUGGUAAGGUAACGGCUUACCAAGGCGACGAUACGUAGCCGACCUGAGAGGGUGAUCGGCCACACUGGAACUGAGACACGGUCCAGACUCCUACGGGAGGCAGCAGUAGGGAAUCUUCCGCAAUGGGCGAAAGCCUGACGGAGCAACGCCGCGUGAGUGAGAAGGGUUUCGGCUCGUAAAACUCUGUUAUUAGGGAAGAACAAAUGUGUAAGUAACUGUGCACAUCUUGACGGUACCUAAUCAGAAAGCCACGGCUAACUACGUGCCAGCAGCCGCGGUAAUACGUAGGUGGCAAGCGUUAUCCGGAAUUAUUGGGCGUAAAGCGCGCGUAGGCGGUUUCUUAAGUCUGAUGUGAAAGCCCACGGCUCAACCGUGGAGGGUCAUUGGAAACUGGGAAACUUGAGUGCAGAAGAGGAAAGUGGAAUUCCAUGUGUAGCGGUGAAAUGCGCAGAGAUAUGGAGGAACACCAGUGGCGAAGGCGACUUUCUGGUCUGUAACUGACGCUGAUGUGCGAAAGCGUGGGGAUCAAACAGGAUUAGAUACCCUGGUAGUCCACGCCGUAAACGAUGAGUGCUAAGUGUUAGGGGGUUUCCGCCCCUUAGUGCUGCAGCUAACGCAUUAAGCACUCCGCCUGGGGAGUACGACCGCAAGGUUGAAACUCAAAGGAAUUGACGGGGACCCGCACAAGCGGUGGAGCAUGUGGUUUAAUUCGAAGCAACGCGAAGAACCUUACCAAAUCUUGACAUCCUUUGAAAACUCUAGAGAUAGAGCCUUCCCCUUCGGGGGACAAAGUGACAGGUGGUGCAUGGUUGUCGUCAGCUCGUGUCGUGAGAUGUUGGGUUAAGUCCCGCAACGAGCGCAACCCUUAAGCUUAGUUGCCAUCAUUAAGUUGGGCACUCUAGGUUGACUGCCGGUGACAAACCGGAGGAAGGUGGGGAUGACGUCAAAUCAUCAUGCCCCUUAUGAUUUGGGCUACACACGUGCUACAAUGGACAAUACAAAGGGCAGCUAAACCGCGAGGUCAUGCAAAUCCCAUAAAGUUGUUCUCAGUUCGGAUUGUAGUCUGCAACUCGACUACAUGAAGCUGGAAUCGCUAGU
rnacentral:rRNA from 1 species